GUAAAAAUUAGGCGCUUUUUUUUUAUUUUCCCAAAUUUGGUCUCACUCGGUCUCUCACAUCUCGCGUAGUAGCCUGACCCCUGAGCCCUGAGCCUUGAGCCUCCUCUCUCUCGGUCUUCAAUCACUCUCUCAAACUCUCUGUCUCUCAUUCCCAACACCAUCUCUCGAUUUCUCUCUAUUUCUGCCUUCAUCCAAAAAAAUUUCACACACCUCCAUCUCGGCCAAGCUCUCGCCGCCGUCAAUUUCGAUGUCCUCUUCAGGUUCGCACAUUCAAUCUCAUUAUUUGUAUAUUUAAUUUAAUGAUUGUGUAAUUAAUUGUGCUGUAGAGGGAAGAAAUCAGAUCCAUGGUUGAAAAGGAUGGAUCUGCAAAGGGAAUUGUGUUCAGCCAGUUCACAUCGUUCUUGGAUAUUUCAAGGCAUAUUUGCGUCGUUAGCGGCGCUGAUGUUCAAUUGCAUAAAAAAGGUGGACAAGAAUGCGAGUGGAGUUGAGUUGCUGCUUGAGUAUCAUUAAAGUAAGAAAAUAGCGGUGCUAUAGCGGAAGAAGAGGGAAGAGAAACAGUUGAGUCAUCCUCUUUCUGUUUGAGUUUGUCAAAUGGUGCACAAGGACUGGGAGAAACUUUUGGGAGAGUGACAAUUGAAGCCAUGGCAUUCGGUCUUCCGGUGCUUGGAACCGAAGCCGGAGGCACAAAAGAGAUUGUUGAACACAAUGUAACAGGUCUGCUUCAUCCUGUGGGGCAUGACGGAACUCGUGGCCUCGCCGAGAAUCACCGAUUUUUGCUUAAAAUGUGUGCAAUCAAAGCAUUCCAUCUAACCAUAGAUGUUGAAGAACUAUAGCUGUUUACUUUCCCCAGGCACUAAAUUCUAAAUGUUGUUCUCUCUUUCAGUUUUAUUUUAUUAUUAUUUUUAUAUUCAUGUUAUUUCUUUUUUGUUUGCACAUCAGAGGUCGAUGCAUUGAAGAACCAUAGAUGUCGAACACAGCAGAGGUCGAUGCAUUGAAGGCGGAAGUGACGCACCUGAGGGUCGAGGGCGAGCAGAUGAAGGCGCAGCUG
rnacentral:sRNA from 1 species